CUGAAAGGCUAGGGGUGCUUUCCGCUGUAUGCAAGCCCGGAAAGCUGAGAAAAACCCUUUGAACCUGAACCGGUUAACACCGGCGUAGGAAAGCCCUAUCUUCCCUGC
rfam:Proteobacteria bacterium ST_bin11 63, whole genome shotgun sequence.